ACACUCCUACGGGAGGCAGCAGUGGGGAAUAUUGGACAAUGGGCGCAAGCCUGAUCCAGCCAUGCCGCGUGAGUGAUGAAGGCCCUAGGGUUGUAAAGCUCUUUCACCGGUGAAGAUAAUGACGGUAACCGGAGAAGAAGCCCCUGCUAACUUCGUGCCAGCAGCCGCGGUAAUACGAAGGGGGCUAGCGUUGUUCGGAUUUACUGGGCGUAAAGCGCACGUAGGCGGACUAUUAAGUCAGGGGUGAAAUCCCGGGGCUCAACCCCGGAACUGCCUUUGAUACUGGUAGUCUUGAGUUCGAGAGAGGUGAGUGGAAUUCCGAGUGUAGAGGUGAAAUUCGUAGAUAUUCGGAGGAACACCAGUGGCGAAGGCGGCUCACUGGCUCGAUACUGACGCUGAGGUGCGAAAGCGUGGGGAGCAAACAGGAUUAGAAACCCCAGUAGUCCCAUGAU
rnacentral:rRNA from 1 species